AGGCCUUUAGAUUUCCAUCAAUUUCAAGUCUAAGAUAUGUCAAUGUUGUGUUGUAGUUUGUAAAAGCCAUCACAUGUGAACUUCUCUGUGUUGAUUUUGCAAAUCUAUAAUCUAAUUUCAAUCUUUGAUUCCCACUGUUCAAUUUUAUCGAUUCCAAUGUGUUAUUCCCAUAUUCGAACCAAGCUAAUUCAACAUCUACCUUGUUCCCCUUGUAAACAGCGAACAAUCUCGGCUGCACCACCAAGCUGUAAGGCCCAUUCGCAUUCUUUUUC
rnacentral:lncRNA from 1 species